UACAGAGGGUGCGAGCGUUGUUCGGAAUUACUGGGCGUAAAGGGCUCGUAGGUGGCCAACUAAGUCAGACGUGAAAUCCCUCAGCUUAACUGGGGAACUGCGUCUGAUACUGGAUGGCUUGAGUUUGGGAGAGGGAUGCGGAAUUCCAGGUGUAGCGGUGAAAUGCGUAGAUAUCUGGAGGAACACCGGUGGCGAAGGCGGCAUCCUGGACCAACACUGACACUGAGGAGCGAAAGCCAGGGGAGCAAACGGG
rnacentral:rRNA from 1 species